GUGUUGUUUGAGAUUGUUUGAAGUCUCACAUUGCUUAGGUUCCCGGGAUGUGAAGUGUAUAAAUAAGUGAGGGCAACCUCACCCUUUGAGCUAGCUUUUGGGGUUGAGAUCCAAGCAUAUUUAACAUGGUAUCAGAGCCGGGUUAAGGACUGCAAUGUGGGCAUUUGACCCAGGACCACGCUAGGCGUGAGGGUGGGUGUUGAAUGUGUUGUUGUGUUGUUUGAGAUUGUUUGAAGUCCCACAUUGUUUAGGUUCCCGGGAUGUGAAGUGUAUAAAUAUGUGAGGGCACCCUCACCCUUUGAGCUAGCUUUUGGGGAUGAGAUCCAAACAUAUUUAACAA
rnacentral:lncRNA from 1 species